AAAAGACUUAGUCCUAACCUUACUAUUAAUUCUUGCCAGAUCUAUACAUGCAAGUAUCCGCACCCCAGUGUAAAUGCCCCUAGACCCUCCCCCGGACAAGAGGAGCAGGUAUCAGGCACACUCCUCCCGUAGCCCAAGACACCUUGCUUAGCCACACCCCCACGGGUAUUCAGCAGUAACUAACAUUAAGCUAUGAGCGCAAGCUCGACUUAGUCAUGGCAACACCAGGGUUGGUAAAUCUUGUGCCAGCCACCGCGGUCAUACAAGAAACCCAAAUUAAUCGUUCACGGCGUAAAGAGUGACCCAACACUAUCGUCUCACCUGAGGGCAAAACAUGUCCAAGCUGUCAUAAGCCCAAGACACGCCUAAACCCACAUCCUCCUCAACUCCAACGAUCAAUCGACCUCACNAAAGCCAGGGNNCAAACUGGGAUUANAUACCCCACUAUGCCUGGCCAUAAAUUCAAAUGCUUCCCUUACCCAAGCAUUCGCCAGGGGACUACGAGCACAAACGCUUAAAACCCUAAGGACUUGGCGGUGUCCCAAACCCACCUAGAGGAGCCUGUUCUGUAAUCGAUAACCCACGCUACACCCAACCCCCCCUUGCCUGCAAGCAGCCUACAUACCGCCGUCGUCAGCCCACCUCACCUGAGAGCCCAACAGUGAGCACAAUAGCCCCACCCGCUAAAAAGACAGGUCAAGGUAUAGCCUAUGGGGGGGAAAGAAAUGGGCUACAUUUUCUGACCCAGAAAACAACGAAAGCAGGGCCUGAAAACCUGCCCUCGGAAGGCGGAUUUAGCAGUAAAACAUGACCAUCAUGCUUGUCUUAAACUGGCCCUGGGACACGUACAUACCGCCCGUCACCCUCCUCACAAGCAAACUUCUCCCCUCCAAUCAAAACCAUAACCCGCCAAAGAUGAGGUAAGUCGUAACAAGGUAAGUGUACCGGAAGGUGCACUUAGCACAU
rnacentral:ncRNA from 1 species